rnacentral:rRNA from 1 species
CCCUUAGAUGUUCUGGGCUGCACGCGUGUUACAAUCGGGAGUACAACAAGAUUGCAAAUCCUAGUGGAUGAGUGGUUCUUCGAAAUUUUCUGAAGACUGGGAUAGUUGAUUGAAAUUAUUCAACUCGAACGAGGAAUUCCUUGUAAUUGUAAUUCAUUAUAUUGUAAUGAAUACGUCCCUGCCCGUUGUACACGCCGCCCGUCGCUCCUACCGAUUGAACGAUCCGGUGAAUUAUUUGGAGUAGCUCUGGAAGUUGCAGAACUUCCUAUGUCACGAAAUUUUGUAAACCUUAUCGUUUAGAGGAAGGAAAAGUCGUAACA